rnacentral:rRNA from 1 species
UAGGUGGUAAGCGUUAUCCGGAUUUACUGGGUGUAAAGGGCGAGUAGGCGGGCAGACAAGUCAGAUGUGAAAUCUGGGGGCUUAACCCCCAAACUGCAUUUGAAACUGUAGGUCUUGAGUGAUGGAGAGGCAGGCGGAAUUCCCGGUGUAGCGGUGGAAUGCGUAGAUAUCGGGGGGAACACCAGUGGCGAAGGCGGCCUGCUGGACAUUAACUGACGCUGAGGAGCUAAAGCGUGGGGAGCA